GACGUAGGAGGCGAGCGUUGUCCGGAUUCAUUGGGCGUAAAGAGCGCGCAGGCGGCUUGGUAAGUCGGAUGUGAAAUCCCGAGGCUCAACCUCGGGUCUGCAUCCGAUACUGCCCGGCUAGAGGUAGGUAGGGGAGAUCGGAAUUCCUGGUGUAGCGGUGAAAUGACGCAGAUAUCAGGAGGAACACCGGUGGCGAAGGCGGAUCUCUGGGCCUUACCUGACGCUCAGGCGCGAAAGCUAGGGGAGCGAACAGG
rnacentral:rRNA from 1 species